rnacentral:rRNA from 1 species
ACGAACGCUGGCGGCGUGCUUAACACAUGCACGUCGAACGGAAAGGCCCUGCUUUUGUGGGGUGCUCGAGUGGCGAACGGGUGAGUAACACGUGAGUAACCUGCCCUUGACUUUGGGAUAACUUCAGGAAACUGGGGCUAAUACCGGAUAGGAGCUCCUGCUGCAUGGUGGGGGUGGGAAAGUUUCGGCGGUUGGGGAUGGACUCGCGGCUUAUCAGCUUGUUGGUGGGGUAGUGGCUUACCAAGGCUUUGACGGGUAGCCGGCCUGAGAGGGUGACCGGCCACAUUGGGACUGAGAUACGGCCCAGACUCCUACGGGAGGCAGCAGUGGGGAAUAUUGCACAAUGGGCGGAAGCCUGAUGCAGCAACGCCGCGUGCGGGAUGACGGCCUUCGGGUUGUAAACCGCUUUCGCCUGUGACGAAGCGUGAGUGACGGUAAUGGGUAAAGAAGCACCGGCUAACUACGUG